GAUGAACGCUGGCGGCGUGCCUAAUACAUGCAAGUCGAGCGAACGGACGAGAAGCUUGCUUCUCUGAUGUUAGCGGCGGACGGGUGAGUAACACGUGGAUAACCUACCUCUAAGACUGGGAUAACUUCGGGAAACCGUAGCUAAUACCGGCUAAUAUUUUGAACCGCAUGGUUCAAAAGUGAAAGACGGUCUUGCUGUCACUUAUAGAUGGAUCCGCGCUGCAUUAGCUAGUUGGUAAGGUAACGGCUUACCAAGGCAACGAUGCAUAGCCGACCUGAGAGGGUGAUCGGCCACACUGGAACUGAUACACGGUCCAGACUCCUACGGGAGGCAGCAGUAGGGAAUCUUCCGCAAUGGGCGAAAGCCUGACGGAGCAACGCCGCGUGAGUGAUGAAGGUCUUCGGAUCGUAAAACUCUGUUAUUAGGGAAGAACAUAUGUGUAAGUAACUGUGCACAUCUUGACGGUACCUAAUCAGAAAGCCACGGCUAACUACGUG
rnacentral:rRNA from 1 species